rnacentral:rRNA from 1 species
AAUAGAUACCCAGGUAGUCCACGCCGUAAACGAUGAAUACUAGGUGUAGGGGUUGUCAUGACCUCUGUGCCGCCGCAAACGCAUUAAGUAUUCCGCCUGGGGAGUACGGUCGCAAGAUUAAAACUCAAAGGAAUUGACGGGGGCCCGCACAAGCAGCGGAGCAUGUGGUUUAAUUCGAAGCAACGCGAAGAACCUUACCUAGACUUGACAUCUCCUGAAUUACUCUUAAUCGAGGAAGUCCCUUCGGGGACAGGAAGACAGGUGGUGCAUGGUUGUCGUCAGCUCGUGUCGUGAGAUGUUGGGUUAAGUCCCGCAACGAGCGCAACCCUUAUUGUUAGUUGCUACCAUUAAGUUGAGCACUCUAGCAAGACUGCCCGGGUUAACCGGGAGGAAGGUGGGGAUGACGUCAAAUCAUCAUGCCCCUUAUGCCUAGGGCUACACACGUGCUACAAUGGCAAGUACAAAAGAUGCAAUACCGCAAGGUGGAGCUAAACUUAAAAACUUGUCUCAGUUCGGAUUGUAGGCUGAAACUCGCCUACA